rnacentral:rRNA from 1 species
AGUGAACGCUGGCGGUAGGCCUAACACAUGCAAGUCGAACGGCAGCACAGUAAGAGCUUGCUCUUACGGGUGGCGAGUGGCGGACGGGUGAGGAAUACAUCGGAAUCUACUUUUUCGUGGGGGAUAACGUAGGGAAACUUACGCUAAUACCGCAUACGACCUACGGGUGAAAGCAGGGGAUCUUCGGACCUUGCGCGAUUGAAUGAGCCGAUGUCGGAUUAGCUAGUUGGCGGGGUAAAGGCCCACCAAGGCGACGAUCCGUAGCUGGUCUGAGAGGAUGAUCAGCCACACUGGAACUGAGACACGGUCCAGACUCCUACGGGAGGCAGCAGUGGGGAAUAUUGGACAAUGGGCGCAAGCCCGAUCCAGCCAUACCGCGUGGGUGAAGAAGGCCUUCGGGUUGUAAAGCCCUUUUGUUGGGAAAGAAAAGCAGCAGGUUAAUACCCCGCUGUUCUGGCGGUACCCAAAGAAUAAGCACCGGCUAACUUCGUG